rnacentral:tRNA from 1 species
GCGGGUGGACUGGUCUGCGUAGGCCUCCAAAGCUGAAACGCAAGGGGUUCGAUUCCCCUCACCCGCUCCA